rnacentral:rRNA from 1 species
AGUGAACGCUGGCGGUAGGCCUAACACAUGCAAGUCGAACGGCAGCACAGUAAGAGCUUGCUCUUACGGGUGGCGAGUGGCGGACGGGUGAGGAAUACAUCGGAAUCUACUUUUUCGUGGGGGAUAACGUAGGGAAACUUACGCUAAUACCGCAUACGACCUACGGGUGAAAGCAGGGGAUCUUCGGACCUUGCGCGAUUGAAUGAGCCGAUGUCGGAUUAGCUAGUUGGCGGGGUAAAGGCCCACCAAGGCGACGAUACGUGGCUGGUCUGAGAGGAUGAUCAGCCACACUGGAACUGAGACACGGUCCAGACUCCUACGGGAGGCAGCAGUGGGGAAUAUUGGACAAUGGGCGCAAGCCUGAUCCAGCCAUACCGCGUGGGUGAAGAAGGCCUUCGGGUUGUAAAGCCCUUUUGUUGGGAAAGAAAAGCAGCAGGUUAAUACCCCGCUGUUCUGACGGUACCCAAAGAAUAAGCACCGGCUAACUUCGUG